rnacentral:rRNA from 1 species
UACGUAGGGUGCGAGCGUUGUCCGGAAUUAUUGGGCGUAAAGAGCUCGUAGGCGGUCUGUCGCGUCGGUCGUGAAAACUUGGGGCUUAACCCUGAGCUUGCGGUCGAUACGGGCAUGACUGGAGUUCGGUAGGGGAGACUGGAAUUCCUGGUGUAGCGGUGAAAUGCGCAGAUAUCAGGAGGAACACCGGUGGCGAAGGCGGGUCUCUGGACAGUUCCUGACACUGAGACACGAAGGCCAGGGGAGCAAACGGG